AUUGAACGCUGGCGGCAUGCCUUACACAUGCAAGUCGAACGGCAGCACGAUCAGGCUUUCCAGUUACAUGUCGCGAGUGGCGGGCGGGUGAAAUAUACAUCAGCAUCUACUUUUUCGGGGGGUAACUCGUCGAAAAACUAACUCUUACACCAUAUACGCCCAACGUGUGAAUGCGGGGGCGCAACGCCCCAUGCUCUAGUAGCUGCCGCGGUCUGAUUAGCUAGUUGGUGCGGUAAAGGCCCACCAAGGCGACGAUCAGUAGCUGGUCUGAGAGGAUGAUCAGCCACACUGGAACUGAGACACGGUCCAGACUCCUACGGGAGGCAGCAGUGGGGAAUAUUGGACAAUGGGCGAAAGCCUGAUCCAGCAAUGCCGCGUGUGUGAAGAAGGCCUUCGGGUUGUAAAGCCCUUUUGUUGGGAAAGAAAAGCAGCAGGUUAAUACCCCGCUGUUAUGACGGUACCCAAAGAAUAAGCACCGGCUAACUUCGUG
rnacentral:rRNA from 1 species